AGUGAACGCUGGCGGUAGGCCUAACACAUGCAAGUCGAACGGCAGCACAGAGGAGCUUGCUCCUUGGGUGGCGAGUGGCGGACGGGUGAGGAAUACAUCGGAAUCUACUCUGUCGUGGGGGAUAACGUAGGGAAACUUACGCUAAUACCGCAUACGACCUACGGGUGAAAGCAGGGGACCUUCGGGCCUUGCGCGAUUGAAUGAGCCGAUGUCGGACUCGCUAGUUGGCGGGGUAAAGGCCCACCAAGGCGACGACCCGUAGCUGGUCUGAGAGGAUGAUCAGCCACACUGGAACUGAGACACGGUCCAGACUCCUACGGGAGGCAGCAGUGGGGAAUAUUGGACAAUGGGCGCAAGCCUGAUCCAGCCAUACCGCGUGGGUGAAGAAGGCCUUCGGGUUGUAAAGCCCUUUUGUUGGGAAAGAAAUCCAGCUGGCUAAUACCCGGUUGGGAUGACGGUACCCAAAGAAUAAGCACCGGCUAACUUCGUGCCAGCAGCCGCCGCGG
rnacentral:rRNA from 1 species